AGGUACAGCUGUCCAGGGAGGAGAUGCAGAGGUGGGACGAUGUAAGCACUGUUUCCCGACUAGACCAGAAGCCAGCUGCGUUGCUGUGCCCUGAUCAUCUCCACCUGGACCUCUGCAGUGGUCUCCUGGCUGCCUCCUCCCAUGCCCUUCACGGCCAGUCCUCAACACAGCAAGCAGAGCGAUCCUGUUAAAGGGGUUUGGACACAUUCUGAGAUCAGAACCAGAGCUUUAUGAGAAGGAAGCCCUCAUUUACUCGUUUGCUGUCAAAAUAUUGCAACCCACUCCACUCUCCACGUGCCUGGUUUAGAGGAUGAAAGGAUUAUCCAGUUUUAACCAAAUCAACCUUCACAACAGGAGUGUUCAAGCACUCCUGGGAAGAGGCGGUGGAUUAAAGACAUGCCCAGCGAUGCGAGCCAAGCCAACAAUGAGAAAGGACAGAGCACAACCUUCCCAAAAUUAAAAACGCCAUUCGCACACCACGCAGGACCAGCACACGUCAGGGGGAGAAGCCGGUCCAGAGGCGCUUUGAGGAGUCGGUAUCUAGACACCCGAGCAAGUUCAGGGCAAGCGGCCUAACCCGUCAACGUCCUACAGACAACAGAGCCGUCGUCUCUGGGGCGAUGUCCCCGCAGGGCCGGGCUGACCAGCGCCUCUACCAGACGGAGGGACCAGGGAGCCGCAGUCGAACAAAGGCGCGUCCCAGGUCACGCAGCCCCGGCCCGGGGCGUCCUGGCGCCCAGGGACGUCGGGACCCCACUGUUUGCGUCCCCAGGCUAGAGCACUGUCUCUCGACACGCUCGACCCCGGGUAGGGGCUUUUCCACUAGGGGCCACCCAACCAGAAGGCAGUCAAAACUCCCCGAUCUUCCGGCAGUAGACUCUGCACCUCCGGCAUCGGUAACCACGAGUAAUAGCCCGGCUCGCUGACAACGUCGAAGAGGUGCAUAGACGGGCGGGAGUGUGCGCAUUUGGGGACCACGGCCGCCUGGAGGCCCGGCCCGGAGCAGGGGCGCCCUGGCUCGGCCCGCAGCCGGUCUUCGGGGGCUCCGGGUCUACCGCCCCGCGCGGAAUCAACCCGCCUCGGCACACCAGCCCCUUAACAGCGCCCCAACGACCGC